GUUUUUCCCUAAGUUAACGUAUCCAGGAAGAAAGCUGUGUGGAGCUUCACUGUUCCGGGGCUGAUCUUAGGUCACACCAACUUUCAAUGUAGAUGUGCCAUAGGUUUCACUAGCUUCAUUCUCAACAUUUGUUUUCAUCAUAGGGGAGCCCCAAAGAAUCAGCUACUUGGACUUUGACCCACAGAGGCAAAAGGGGUCCAUUCAAAAUAAUAAGCAGUCACCCUGUCCUCACCUUCCUGACAUACAACAUGUAGGUGAGAGGUCCCUGGUGAGAGGGAGGGAGAGAGGAAUCAGGCAUUUUAAAUCUAUAUACUGGUAUUUAUUCCUCCACAAAAUCCUACUGUGUCCCCAUGGCAGUAGAUAGGUAGCCCUGAACUUCUGGAGGUUAUCCUCUAUCAGGCUCCAGAAACAGGGAAAGAUUUCAGUACCAUUUCAGAGUUAAGAUUGUAUACAUCUGAGGAAUAACCUACAGAGGGUGAGGCUCCCCCUUGUGCUGGCAGGACUGCUGAGUGAAAGGUCAGUGGUUCAGAUCCACUGAACCGCUCCCCAUGCAGGAACAUGAGAGAAGCCUCCCACAAGAUGGUAAAACAUCUGGGCAUCCCCUAGGCAACAUCCUUGCAGACGUCCAAUUCUCUAACACCAGAAGUGACUUGCAGCUUCUCAAAUCGCUCCUGACAUGGAAAAAAAAUACAGAGGGUAUUGUUACUAGAAGGCUAGCUACCAAAUGAUUAAUAUGUGAUACAGCAUGAACCCCAUAUCUGCAGGGGAUAUAUUCCAAGAACCUCAAUGGAUUCCUGAAACUAUGGAUAAUAGCGAACCCUACACUUUAGCUUGAAGAAUAUCAUAGAAUUAUACCAAAAAAAAUCCUAAAGAGGCUCACAAACAUUUGCAGGGGUGAUAUUUCUUGGAGCAUUGACAAAUGAAAACAUAGAUAAUGAAUCCAUGAAUAAAAGGUCAUACUAUAUAGUUGCGACUUGCAUUGGUGGAGAUGAAAAGACAUUGCUAGAUGAAAAGCAUGCAGAGGGAAGAGGAAAGUUAAUCCAGCCCAACUUUAAAGCAUAGCUUGUAAAGCGACUUUUAAGAAUUGAUGUAAUUAGUACUAAUGAUAUGCUGGAAUAAUUAUUGACUGCUCAAUUAUAGAUAGCUUCAACAUAUUGUGACAUUAAUUCUUCUUAAAAGUAGGUUUCAGAAGGCAGAACUUUAUUCGAGUAAGCAAAGUGUGUUUUUUGUGACCUGCCAGGGUUCUCCAGAUUUGCACAAAUGUAACAAAUCUUUCCCACAUGAUCCCACCCGGGGCCGAUCCAGCUUAACUGAAGAAGAAACCCAAAUCCCAAGGAUGAACUAGACAUUUGUGAAUGCCUAUGCCCACAAGCAGAGUAGAGGCUCCCCCCUUCCAUCUCAAAUGCUGUUGCCCUGACCCCAGAGAGAAAGAAGAAGAGGCAGACACAGUUCCAUCAAGUAUAGGCCCAGAAGAUGAAAUGCCCUCCAUCCAUCCCAACUGCCACUGUUCUGGCCUCAGAGGGAGCGAAGGAGCAGGUUGGGCUCCAUCAUGAUGAGGCCCAACAGCAGAUGAAAGGUCCUCCUUCCGUUCCAACUGCUUCAGAUGGAGAGUAGAGGCAAUAUCUGCUGGACUUAACCUCUCCACACUAUCAGUUCCAUUUCAUUUUGUGUCAUUCAUGUCUUGGUUAGAUUGUAAGCAUGACGGCAGGCUUGGAAAGCACAGUGCAAAUUGAUGGUUAUAUAUAUAUAUAUUGUCAACAAUCAAGUGCAGGCAGUAGUGAACCUCCAUGCACAAAUUGGAAAGAGUGUUGCCAGGUCUGAACCACCCCAGGCACUGAGAUUUUAGCAUCAAACCUAUUAUCUGGGGACAUCUCCUUGUAAUGUCACGGGGAGCUCAUAUACACAAAUUUUCAAGGGAGCACUCGCACCCUUUACAUUCCUUCACCAAGGACUGGAAAAGAGGUAUCAAGCAAUGAGAUCUGGAAACUCUACUUUGAAACCUGGGCAAUACAGAACUGUUUAUUUUCUAUUAGAGAAGCACAUGUACAUACAAAGAUACAAAAGAUAAGUGAAUCAAAGACUGGGCAACAAUUAACUGUGGAAAAAGCUUCCAUCCUCUGACACACUGAAUUUAAUAUAUUUGUCCAUGCACUGCUUGAAGGCUCCAAUGGUUACUAUGACCAAGAGAGCCUUUGCCCAGUUUCAACUGGUCUUCCAGUACUCCAUGCCUGAAUCCACGGAUGGGCAUCACUCCUGGCCACCAUUCUGUCUCGUUUUCAGCCAAUUUUGGGGAGGUUCUGGAGCUAGGAUAAGUAAACCAUCACAUUGGAAGGCAGCUUUGGAAAUUCUAGGCCAGUUUUUGGUCAAGAGGUAAAGGUAAAGAUUUUCUCCUGACA